UACAGAGGGUGCAAGCGUUGUUCGGAAUUACUGGGCGUAAAGCGCACGUAGGCGGCUUUCUAAGUCGGGGGUGAAAUCCUGGAGCUCAACUCCAGAACUGCCUUCGAUACUGGAAAGCUCGAGUCCGGGAGAGGUGAGUGGAACUGCGAGUGUAGAGGUGAAAUUCGUAGAUAUUCGCAAGAACACCAGUGGCUAAGGCGGCUCACUGGCCCGGUACUGACGCUGAGGUGCGAAAGCGUGGGGAGCAAACAGG
rnacentral:rRNA from 1 species